AACGAACGCUGGCGGCAUGCCUAACACAUGCAAGUCGAACGAGACCUUCGGGUCUAGUGGCGCACGGGUGCGUAACGCGUGGGAACCUGCCCUUAGGUUCGGAAUAACUCCCCGAAAGGGGUGCUAAUACCGGAUAAUGUCUUCGGACCAAAGAGUUAUCGCCUUUGGAUGGGCCCGCGUUGGAUUAGCUAGUUGGUAGGGUAAAAGCCUACCAAGGCGACGAUCCAUAGCUGGUCUGAGAGGAUGAUCAGCCACACUGGGACUGAGACACGGCCCAGACUCCUACGGGAGGCAGCAGUGGGGAAUAUUGGACAAUGGGCGAAAGCCUGAUCCAGCAAUGCCGCGUGAGUGAUGAAGGCGUUAGGGUUGUAAAGCUCUUUUACCCGGGAUGAUAAUGACAGUACCGGGAGAAUAAGCACCGGCUAACUCCGUG
rnacentral:rRNA from 1 species